GAUGAACGCUGGCGGCGUGCCUAAUACAUGCAAGUCGAGCGAACAGAUGAGGAGCUUGCUCCUCUGACGUUAACGGCGGACGGGUGAGUAACACGUGGAUAACCUACCUAUAAGACUGGGAUAACUUCGGGAAACCGGAGCUAAUACCGGAUAAUAUAUUGAACCGCAUGGUUCAAUAGUGAAAGACGGUUUUGCUGUCACUUAUAGAUGGAUCCGCGCCGCAUUAGCUAGUUGGUAAGAUAACGGCUUACCAAGGCAACGAUGCGUAGCCGACCUGAGAGGGUGAUCGGCCACACUGGAACUGAGACACGGUCCAGACUCCUACGGGAGGCAGCAGUAGGGAAUCUUCCGCAAUGGGCGAAAGCCUGACGGAGCAACGCCGCGUGAGUGAUGAAGGUCUUCGGAUCGUAAAACUCUGUUAUUAGGGAAGAACAAAUGUGUAAGUAACUAUGCACGUCUUGACGGUACCUAAUCAGAAAGCCACGGCUAACUACGUG
rnacentral:rRNA from 1 species